AGUUAAUGUUCUUCGUUGGAUAGUUUAAUUUAUGAUUAGACUCUGUCCGUUUAUUUUCUUAGAAUUGGGCUAUCUUAUCUGGCUUUAUGGUUUGGUUAGAGAUAGUUAGACUUACUACGGAUUUUGAAAAUCUUACGCUGAUCCAAGUUUUAGUGCCUGUCCGACUCAAAAUUUGAGUCGUGACAAAAAACAUUAAACGUUAUCUUAAUAACUAUUAUCGGACGUAGCUUUUAUAUAUUUUGUGGCCGAUAAAAAAUUUUAAUAAAU
rnacentral:misc_RNA from 1 species